CGCAACUUCUACCCAUUGGUUGGUCAAAUUAAUUUAUUUUGAUACAACUAAGAUUCAAAGUUUGCUAGAUCAAUGUACGUGACUUACCAUGUGAAUGGAAUUAUUCACUCAACUAUUUACAGAAGAAGAAGCGUAACAA
rnacentral:snoRNA from 1 species